rnacentral:rRNA from 1 species
AACGAACGCUGGCGGCAUGCCUAACACAUGCAAGUCGAACGAGACCUUCGGGUCUAGUGGCGCACGGGUGCGUAACGCGUGGGAACCUGCCUUUAGGUUCGGAAUAACUCAGAGAAAUUUGAGCUAAUACCGGAUAAUGUCUUCGGACCAAAGAUUUAUCGCCUUUAGAUGGGCCCGCGUUGGAUUAGCUAGUUGGUGGGGUAAAGGCCUACCAAGGCGACGAUCCAUAGCUGGUCUGAGAGGAUGAUCAGCCACACUGGGACUGAGACACGGCCCAGACUCCUACGGGAGGCAGCAGUGGGGAAUAUUGGACAAUGGGCGGAAGACCUGAUCCAGCAAUAGCCGCGUGAGUGA